UGGAGCCUGCGGCUUAAUUUGACUCAACACGCGAAAACUUACCAGGUCCAGACAUAGUAAGGAUUGACAGAUUGAAGUUCUUUCUUGAUUCUAUGCAUGGUGGUGCAUGGCCGUUCUUAGUUGGUGGAGUGAUUUGUCUGGUUAAUUCCGAUAACGAACGAGACCUCAGCCAUCUAACUAGCUGUCGCUAACGCGUUUGCGGUUAUCCGUUGCGCCUAGUGCUUACAAACGUAAGAGCAGCUUCUUAGAGGGACAAUCUGCGUUCAGCAGAUGGAAGUUUGAGGCAAUAACAGGUCAGUGAUGCCCUUAGAUGCUCUGGGCUGCACGCGCGCUACAAUGAUGCAUUCAACGAGCUGACCUGGCUUGAAAAGGCCGGGUAAUCUUUAAAGUGCAUCCUAGUGGGGAUAGAUGAUUGCAAUUGUUCAUCUUGAACAAGGAAUAUCUAGUAAACGCAAGUCAUCAACUUGCAUUGAAUACGUCCCUGCCCUUUGUACACACCGCCCGUCGCUCCUACCGAUUGAAUAAUCCGGUGAAUUGAGUGGAUAGAGAGCUGCUUCGGCGUGUUUUCUAGAAGCUCUGUAAACCUUAUUAUUU
rnacentral:rRNA from 1 species